GGGACGGCGGCCUACCUAAUACAUGCAAGUCGAGCGAAUGGAUUAAGAGCUUGCUCUUAUGAAGUUAGCGGCGGACGGGUGAGUAACACGUGGGUAACCUGCCCAUAAGACUGGGAUAACUCCGGGAAACCGGGGCUAAUACCGGAUAACAUUUUGAACUGCAUGGUUCGAAAUUGAAAGGCGGCUUCGGCUGUCACUUAUGGAUGGACCCGCGUCGCAUUAGCUAGUUGGUGAGGUAACGGCUCACCAAGGCAACGAUGCGUAGCCGACCUGAGAGGGUGAUCGGCCACACUGGGACUGAGACACGGCCCAGACUCCUACGGGAGGCAGCAGUAGGGAAUCUUCCGCAAUGGACGAAAGUCUGACGGAGCAACGCCGCGUGAGUGAUGAAGGCUUUCGGGUCGUAAAACUCUGUUGUUAGGGAAGAACAAGUGCUAGUUGAAUAAGCUGGCACCUUGACGGUACCUAACCAGAAAGCCACGGCUAACUACGUGCCAGCAGCCGCGGUAAUACGUAGGUGGCAAGCGUUAUCCGGAAUUAUUGGGCGUAAAGCGCGCGCAGGUGGUUUCUUAAGUCUGAUGUGAAAGCCCACGGCUCAACCGUGGAGGGUCAUUGGAAACCGGGAGACUUGAGUGCAGAAGAGGAAAGUGGAAUUCCAUGUGUAGCGGUGAAAUGCGUAGAGAUAUGGAGGAACACCAGUGGCCAAGGCGACUUUCUGGUCUGUAACUGACACUGAGGCGCGAAAGCGUGGGGAGCAAACCGGAUUACAUACCCGGGUAGUCCA
rnacentral:rRNA from 1 species